rnacentral:rRNA from 1 species
AGAGCGAACGCUGGCGGCAGGCUUAACACAUGCAAGUCGAGCGCCCCGCAAGGGGAGCGGCAGACGGGUGAGUAACGCGUGGGAACGUGCCUUUUGGUUCGGAACAACCCAGGGAAACUUGGGCUAAUACCGGAUAAGCCCUUACGGGGAAAGAUUUAUCGCCAAAAGAUCGGCCCGCGUCUGAUUAGCUAGUUGGUGGGUAAUGGCCCACCAAGGCUACGAUCAGUAGCUGGUCUGAGAGGAUGAUCAGCCACACUGGGACUGAGACACGGCCCAGACUCCUACGGGAGGCAGCAGUGGGGAAUAUUGGACAAUGGGGCAACCCUGAUCCAGCCAUACCGCGUGUGUGAAGAAAGGCCUUGGGUU